CCGGCUGUGGGGUCGGCGCGCAUGCGCGGCCCUUGACUCGGCCUGGGCGCACCUUUUCUCCCUCCUGCCACAAUGUGAGCGCUCAGUCGCGCUGAUAACCGCCGGUUGCCUGCUCCACCCCCGGCCCUCGCCCACUCCGCCCACUCCCGAGCGCCCAGGAUGAAGAAUUAUAAAAUUGACCAGAGAUCUCCCAAUACCCAGAAUUCAACCCCAAAUAUCUCCAGUUCUACAACUUUCCCUCUAGUCGGAGUUGCCUUCUAGAGUGAGAAUAUGGGAAGUCCCACCCAGUGGACAUCUUCAUCCUGGCAGAAAGCACCACUGCAGGUCACUGACCUGAAAGAGGCUUCAAAUGAGAAGGUAGUCCAGCAGCAAAUAAUUCCCAAAGGACAGAGCCAUGGAAGUAAAGGCGUUUGACCCACACCUGGAGCUCCUGAGACCCAUUAGAGACUAUGGUUCCCCUUCUUUCCUCCCCCAUUCUCCUUCCAGGGACUUGGAGAUGUGAACAAGCCGGUGAACAGCAGAUGGUAAACCCACACAAGAAUGACUACCCCACCAUGAACCUGUCCAGUGUUUAGGAGUGAGAAAAAUGGCAAGCUCUUGAAGUUUUCAUCCCCUUCCCUGUCCAGGGUCCACUGUCUUAGCAUGCGAACCUUCAAGCCUGAACAAGGAAACUAUUCAUCCAUGGAGGCAACCAGGAGGAAGCCACUUCCUGUUCCCUCCCUGUCCUGGCAUGGCUUUCCAUCCCAGGCUGAGAGGAUGGAGAUGAUAAAGGCCCAAUUGUGACAGUCUCACAAACCCAGAGGCCAUCAAGGGGCUAAGAAGCCACUUAACAGCUUUUGAACAUUUGUAAAAAGAAUUAUUCUGCGGAAGUGAAGGCAGAGAGAGGCCCCAAGGUUGCCACCGGGAUGCACCUCUGCCACCCACGAUAGAGAGGCUGACAGCAAAGCCAGCAGGGGUUCAGCCUGCUUGCCACACCACCAUGGGCUGACCUGAGCAGGAGGGACUCAGACACCACCAACAGGCGGCUUUACAGUUCAGGGUUCCUGGACACCUGGAGAUGAAACUCAAUCUCCUGCCAAAUGCAGGAAACACAAGGGUCCUUGAAAGGGCCUGAGGGAGAGAGGAGCCUCCUGCCUCCUCCUCCCAAGGGUGUCCAAAGUAAUAAAUGGCAGGAAAAGAGGAA